CAACCUCAAAUUAGGUGAGACUACCCGCUAAAUUUAAGCAUAUUAUUAAGCGGAGGAAAAGAAACUAACAAGGAUUUCCAUAGUAGCUGCGAGCGAACUGGAAAAAGCCCAGCACUGAAUUAUUAGUAUUUAUAUGCUAAUAAAAUGUAGUGUUUAAGAAGGUUUUUCUAAUAUUCUAAGAUAUUGAGUUUGUUCAAGUUUAUCUUGAAUGGGGCCAAAGUCCAUAGAAGGUGCUAGGCCCGUAGUAGCAAAUACUUAUCUUAGAAAAGCCUUUCUUUAGAGUGCAACCUUAAGUGGGUGGUAAACUCCAUCUAAGGCUAAAUAUAACCACGAGACCGAUAGCAAACAAGUACCGUGAGGGAAAGUUGAAAAGAACUUUGAAGAGAGAGUUCAAAAGUACGUGAAACCGUUUAGGGGUAAACGAAAAAGAACUGAAAAUCCGAAAAGGGAGAUUCACGUCUUCUCGUAUUUGCUAAGAAUAAUGAUAUUUAGGAUAAAUCUUGGCCUGUGCAUUUUAAUGUAUUAGUGCUAUUAUUUGCCUGAUUUUAUUAUUUACUAGCAACGGUGGACCGCACUUCUCUCUAAGUAGGACGUCGCGACCCGCUAACUUAUAAUCUAUGUGCAAAUAUAUUAGUCUUAUUAUAUGUAAUUUAUGUAUUAUUUAUAAUAUAUAUUUUUGUAUCUAUAAUAAGGUUGUUUGUUUUAUCUGAUUAAUUCGUUGGCGGUAAAAGACGAUAGUGUCUAGCCACCUUAUUAUGGUGUUUAGUUUUAUACUUUUAUAUUUUUAAUACAAUUAAAUCUAUUGGAUUAUUUAGUUCCUUAUUUAAUUUAUUAAUUAUAUUAGUUUUAAUUAAACUUGGCUUGCAACACUAGUCAGCGGCGCUACAGUUUCAGUAACUUUUUCGACCCGUCGAAACACCCAAGGAGUCUAACAUGUGCGCAAGUCGUUAGGUGUAUUAAAACCUAUAGGCGAAACGAAAGUAAAGAAAGCUUUGCUUUAUAAGGAAGGAUGGUUCUAUUCAGAAUACUUGAAUAAACCCGCACUUCUGGGGCGUCUAUUACUCUUUUUGAGUAAAGGGGCACCUAGAGCGUACACGUUGGGACCCGAAAGAUGGUGAACUAUGCAAGACCAGGAUGAAGCCAGGGGAAACCCUGGUGGAGGUCCGUAGCGAUUCUGACGUGCAAAUCGAUCGUCAGAGUUUUGUAUAGGGGCGAAAGACUUAUCGAAUUAUCUAGUAGCUGGUUCCCUCCGAAGUUUCUCUCAGGAUAGCUGGUGCCAAUGAUGAGAAGAGUCUCAUCCGGUAAAGCGAAUGAUUAGAGGCCUUGGGGCCGAAACGACCUCAACCUAUUCUCAAACUUUAAAUGGAUGAGAGCCUUGGCUUGCUUAAAAAGUGAAGCCGGGGAUUUGGAUCUAGGUACCAAGUGGGCCAAUUUUGGUAAUGUGGGAUGAACCAAACGCAAAGUUAAGGCGCCCGAAUUGACGCUCAUUAGACACCAUAAAAGGCGUUGGUUGCUAAAGACAUCAGGAUGGUGACCAUGGAAGUCGGAAUCCGCUAAGGAGUGUGUAACAACUCACCUGACGAAGCAACUAGCCCUGAAAAUGGAUGGCGCUGUAGCGUCGUGCCUAUACUUUGCCGUCAACGGCAAAUUAGGUCACACUUAUUUAUUUUAUAAGUGUCCUAUUAAGCCUUGAUGAGUAGGAGGGUCGCAGCGAUGAGCGCAGAAGGGUCUGGGCGUAAGCCUGCCUGGAGCCGUCGCUGGUGCAGAUCUUGGUGGUAGUAGCAAAUACUCCAGCGAGGCCCUGGAGGACUGUUGUGGAGAAGGGUUUCUUGUGAACAGCUGUUGCACAAGAGUCAGUCGAUCCUAAGCUCUAGGAGAAAUCCCAUGUUAAUGGAUUGCAUUAUUUAUAUAAGGAUAUAUAAGGAUGGCAUCCUUUGAGCAAAAGGGAAUCCGGUCCCUAUUCCGGAACCUGGCAGCGGUACCGUUUCAAAUCGAGCCCUCAUAUGAGACUCGUCGGGGUGACCCAAAAGGACCCGGAGACGCCGUUGGAAGAUUCGGGGAGAGUUGUCUCUUCUCUAUAAGCGUUCGAGUUCCCUGGAAUCCUCUAGCAGGGAGAUAGGGUUUGGAACGCGAAGAGCAUCGCAGUUACGGCGAUGUCCGAAUCUUUCCUUCGGACCUUGAAAAUCCGGGAGAGGGCAACGAGGAACCCCGCGCCAGAUCGUACCCAUAUCCGCAGCAGGUCUCCAAGGUUAAUAGCCUCUAGUCGAUAGAAUAAUGUAGGUAAGGGAAGUCGGCAAGUUCGAUCCGUAACUUCGGGAUAAGGAUUGGCUCUGAGGAUCGUGGCGUGCCGGGCUUGGUUGGGAAGUGGAGCGUUGCCAACGAGCCGGGCCUGGGCGAGAGGUAGACAGGCAUUUUUUUUAUAAAGAAUGUUUUGUAAAUCUGAGCUCGGUCCCGUGCCUUGGCCACCCACGGAUCUUCCUUGCUGUAGAUGCAAUAAUUGUCAGUUGAUAGUUCAUUAUUGAGCUGUUAAACGGAUUUUGUUUCUUUUCGGCCGCCAUUCAACGAUCAACUCAGAACUGGCACGGACCAGAGGAAUCUGACUGUCUAAUUAAAACAAAGUAUUGCGAUGGCCCCAAACGGGUGCUGACGCAAUAUGAUUUCUGCCCAGUGCUUUGAAUGUCAAUGUGAAGAAAUUCAAAUAAGCGCAAGUAAACGGCGGGAGUAACUAUGACUCUCUUAAGGUAGCCAAAUGCCUCGUCAUUUAAUUAGUGACGCGCAUGAAUGGAUUAACGAGAUUCCUAUCUGUCCCUAUCUACUAUCUAGCGAAACCACUGCCAAGGGAACGGGCUUGGAAAUAUUAGCGGGGAAAGAAGACCCUAUUGAGCUUGACUCUAGUCUGGUAUUGUAAGGAGACAUGAGAGGUGUAGCAUAAGUGGGAGGUAAUAACUUUUUUAUAAAGGUAUUAUCGAAAGUGAAAUACCACUACUUUCAUAGUUUCUUUACUUAUUUGAUAAGGCGGAGGGCGUUUUACUUAGGGUGUUAAAGCUCAGGUAAAACGGUAUUCUUGCGCCAAGCGUUAGGGUUGUCGAAUGACCAGCAUUUAAGCUUUUGGUUACAGAGGUGUAUAAAUGAAUUGUCUUUCAAGAGUUUGUGCUCAAGUUUGUACAGUUUUAUUUAUUAUCUCUUUUCCAUUGUUUUUUGUUGAGUUUUUUCGUCAACAUGUUCCCUAGCGUUAUCCGAUUCAAAGACAUUAUCAGAACGGGAGUUCGACUGGGGCGGUACAUCUGUCAAAAAAUAACGCAGGUGUCCUAAGGCCAGCUCAGCGAGGACAGAAACCUCGCGUAGAGUAAAAUGGCAAAAGCUGGCUUGAUCCCGAUGUUCAGUAUGCAUAGGGACUGUGAAAGCAUGGCCUAUCGAUCCUUUUAGUCUAAAGAGUUUUUAGUAAGAGGUGUCAGAAAAGUUACCAUAGGGGUAACUGGCUUGUGGCAGCUAAGCGUUCAUAGCGACGUUGCUUUUUGAUCCUUUGAUGUCGGCUCUUCCUAUCAUUGCAAAGCAGAAUUUGCAAAGUGUUGGAUUGUUCACCCACUAACAGGUAACGUGAGCUGGGUUUAGACCGUCGCGAGACAGGUUAGUUUUACCCUACUGAUUAGACGUUUUUGCGUUAGUAAUUCUGCUCAGUACGAGAGGAACCGCAGGUUCGGACAUUUGGUUCAUGCACUCGGUCGAUCGGCCGGUGGUGCGAUGCUACCAUCCGAUGGAUUAUGCCUGAACGCCUCUUAAGGCCGAAUCCUAUCUAAAAAAGGAAAAAUAUAUCUAUGAGCUCUGUGAGUCGGAAGGCUUAAACAAUGUGACUGUUUAGGUGAUUAGCUAGAAGUGUUUAAUCAUCGCAUUGGCCUAUUGUGCAUACUUAUAUCUCGUAAUAAAAUUAUUAAUAAUUUUAUUACAAAUAUAAUGUACGUAGAAUAGGUUUCCCCUUUUGGGGAGUUCGAUGUCAGAGCUCGGAAUCGUUCGUAGACGACCUAAGUAAUUAGCGGGGUGUUGUAUUCGGUAG
rnacentral:rRNA from 1 species